AAGUCGUAACAAGGUUUCCGUAGGUGAACCUGCGGAAGGAUCAUUAUUGAAUAUUCUUGAUAGGUUGUAGCUGGCUCUUCGGGGCAUGUGCACACUUGUCUUGACUUUAUUCAUCCACCUGUGCACUUUUUGUAGUCUUGGGGGUUGAGAUCAGUCGACUAUCGGAUGGCUUAUAGCCUUUCCGGACGUGAGGAAUGCUGAGUGCAAAAGCAUACAGCUCUUCUCAAAUGACUUAUAAACCUCUCCCUCGAGUACUAUGUAUUCAUAUACCACAUAGUAUGUUGUAGAAUGUGAUCAAUGGGCCUAGUGCCUAUAAUAAUCAUAUACAACUUUCAGCAACGGAUCUCUUGGCUCUC
rnacentral:misc_RNA from 1 species